UUCCUGAUAAUAUUUUUUCCCAACACUCCCAUUGCUUCAUUUUUAGACACCACACUUAAUUCAUGUAUAAAUCUGAAAUCACAUUGAACGAGAAUGUGAGUUUUCCGAGUUCACUGAAAUGGAUCUGGGUUAGCAGCAGUAGCGAGGGGGCCUGGCCUUGCAGGAGGGAAGGUGAAGGUGACUGUGAACUCAGCUCCCCUCCUGCAGUGUCUCCUGCAUUUCCCAGCACCGACGGUUGAAGAAGAGCAAUAAACAACCAAAUCUCUUUAGAAAGGCAUUUGACAACAUUUAAACUCCAUCAGGCAGCCUAAGGAACAUUGUGAAUACAAAAUUCAUCUUGAGUUAAAGUUUCUGCCUUAUUAAAUUCAUCUUUUCUGUAGUGGGUGGUUGUCCCUGCUACAGAUAACUGUGACCCUGGAUGGCAGGACCUGUGUUCACUGUGAACCAACUUUUCCUUCGAGGGCCCCAAAGACCCUGGGUGUGAAUCGCCCGAGUGGGUAGGGUCUCUCACCUGUGAGUCCUCCCACCAGGGUCCCCGUCCUUCCACCCACCUUCCCCCGGGUCUAUUUCCCUUGAGGUCUGAGCUGGGCUGCCCAGUGAGGGGUCAUCCCUGCUGUGAGAUGAAACUGAGGCGUGACUCCCCACCCCUCUGCAGGGCCCUAGAGGGCAUGCGCAGCUUCAACCGUCUGAUCAAGGGCGGAUCCGACUCCCUGCUCGGGGCAGCAGCUCGUGGUUCAUUCAGCCCCAGCGGCAUCUCGAUGGGGUGACGUGAGGGGCACAGAGAACCGAGGAUUGGGUCUGAUGGGAUUAAACUCCCAACUGGUGUCCCCGCGUCUUCUCUUUCCUGACAGCAGACACCAAGAAGAAACAGCCCCAGACACACCGGGUCAUGGAGCUGGAAACCCAGGGAAGCGACGGUGCUGCUUUUCUUGUUUGAGGAUAGUGAAGCUGGAGACCUGGACAGGAGGUGGUGCUACCACUGUUCAAAUCUGAGGGUCGUGGAGCUGGAGCCUUGGAGGUGCCGGUGCUGCCUCUCAAGUCUGAGAGUUGUUGAGCUGGAGAUUCAGGGAGGCACCAGUGUUGCUAUUGUUGUUUGAGGAUUGUGGAGCUGGAGGCCGAAGAGGAGCUGGUGUUGCAGUUCAAGUUUGAUGGUCGUGGAGCUGGAGACUGAGGGAGGAGCUGAUGCUACCACCGUGUAAGUUGGGGGUUGUGGAGCUGGUGGUCCCGGGGAACAGCCAGUGCUAUCGUUGAAGUUUGAGGGAGCUGGAGAGCCAGGGAGUAGCCGGUGCUGCUGUUCUAGUUUGAGUGUUGUGGAGCUGGAGCCUUGGUGGGGAGCCGGUGCUGCCUCCCAAGUCUGAGAGUCAUUGAGCUGGAGAUCCACGCGGGAGCUGGUGCUGCUGUUGGAGUUUGAGGAUGGUGGAGCUGGAGACCCGGGCGGGGCUGGUGCUGGAGUUGGAGUUUGAGGGUCAGGGAGCUGGAGAUCUGGGGAGGAGCCAGUGCUGCUGUUUAAGUCUGAGGGUCGUGGAGCUAAACAUGGAGCCAAAGUUGGGGAAGCAGAGAGAGAGAGUUACAGGAUGACCCUGGAAACUGUAGAUGUAGCUGUACCCCAAGCAAGCUGAGCUUGGGAACUUCUAAAUGCUAGUGAUAAGUGUCUUCUUUUUCCUCUUACACAGUUUGGAUUUGUUUUCUGUCUCAUGAGGCAGAAAGAUCCUGAUUGAUAGCCUUAGGAAUUGAAAAGCUUAAAAAAACUAAAGGAUGUUGGUAAUAAUAAUAGGAAUUAAACUAUGACUAUCCUGACUGGCAGAGACAAAAUCACACACACAUAAUAUAUAUAUAUAUAUAUAUAUAUAUAUAUAUAUGUAUCUUUCAAUCAGUUAGUAAAAUAAGAAAUACAUUGAAAAAUAGACCCAAGCAAAGCUAUAAAAUGUUGUUUCAUGGAGAAGCGAUGGAGGACAGAGAUUCAUCUGAGAGGUGCUAUUAAUGGAGAAACUGAGAACUUACCAUUUUUCCCAUGAGGCUUUGGUGCAGAAUGAUAUUGUGUGAGUUCUGGCAGCUGAGUCACUUCCCACAGCCCGGUGAUGCCGUCGGUGUCACAGAAGGACCCUCUCCCAGCUGGUCCUGCCUCUCUGCUACGAUGAGUGCGGCCUCUGAUCCCCAACAGCUGACUGCGUCUUGAGACCAGGCCCAUGAGCACAAG
rnacentral:lncRNA from 1 species